rnacentral:tRNA from 1 species
GCCCGGGUGACGAAAUUGGUAGACGUAGCGGACUUAAAAUCCGCAGCCUUCGGGCGUACGGGUUCAAUUCCCGUCCCGGGCACCA